rnacentral:rRNA from 1 species
GAUGAACGCUAGCGGCAGGCCUAACACAUGCAAGUCGAGGGGUAGCAGGAUUAAGCUUGCUUAAUUGCUGACGACCGGCGCACGGGUGCGUAACUCGUAUGCAACCUACCUUAUACUGGGGUAUAGCCCGGAGAAAUUCGGAUUAAUCCCCCAUAGUACUAAUGAAUCGCAUGGUUUAUUAGUUAAAGCAUUGCGGUAUAAGAUGGGCAUGCGUCCUAUUAGCUAGAUGGUGAGGUAACGGCUCACCAUGGCUACGAUAGGUAGGGGGCCUGGGAGGGUGGUCCCCCACACUGGUACUGAGACACGGACCAGACUCCUACGGGAGGCAGCAGUGGGGAAUAUUGGUCAAUGGGCGCAAGCCUGAACCAGCCAUGCCGCGUGCAGGAAGAAUGCCCUAUGGGUUGUAAACUGCUUUUAUUUGGGAAUAAACCUCUUUACGUGUAGAGAGCUGAAGGUACCAAAUGAAUAAGCACCGGCUAACUCCGUGCCAGCCGCCGCGGUAA